UACGUAGGGUGCGAGCGUUAAUCGGAAUUACUGGGCGUAAAGCGUGCGCAGGCGGUUCGUGAUGUCUGGUGUGAAAGCCCCGGGCUUAACCUGGGAAGUGCGCGCGAAACUGACGAGCUUGAGUGCCGGAGAGGGUCGCGGAAUUCCCGGUGUAGAGGUGAAAUUCGUAGAUAUCGGGAGGAACACCAGUGGCGAAGGCGGCGACCUGGACGGACACUGACGCUGAGACGCGAAAGCGUGGGGAGCAAACAGG
rnacentral:rRNA from 1 species